AUUCUAAUAGCUUAUACAAUAGAGCAUGGCACUGAAGAUGCCAAGGAAGCAACUUUGCUUUAGAAUG
rnacentral:tRNA from 1 species